rnacentral:lncRNA from 1 species
CUCAGGAUGAUAGUAAAGAUAGAUGGCAGCUGUGCAGCAUGCCUGGCACAAAACCAGUACAGAGUAGAGCAAGAGCCUGAAGGACUUCCAGGUUGCUGAACAUGUUGCAUCUCAAGCCUGUCAUACGUAGACAAUGCCUGACAUCAAGGCAGGAGAAGGAAGAAAACCCAAAAAGCAGGCCCAGCCCUGAGCCACCAAGCUGCAAUGGAUGUUCAUAAUGAUGACCUUGGGUUAUAAUGAAAAAGUUAAAUUGUGUCCUUUGCUUUAAAAAGUAGAGGGGUGAAUAGUAUUGUUUUUGAGUGAUUUUCCCCCAAAUAAUUAAUAUUUUGGGAAAAGUCUUGGUUCUUAAAGGGGAAAACGUCCGUUAUCUGGAAUAUGCAGAACACUGCAUUCCCAAUACUGUUAGGUACAUGAGGUGUCUCUGUACUAACGUUCUGACAUACUGGUAUGGUCAGGUGAGAUGACAUAACUUUCCUGUUUUGCAGGAUCCCAUAAGUGGACCAAGAGAAGAGGAAACUAUUCCAGCAUGCUAUCGCUGGCUCCUCCCAGCUCUGCUUAGAACUCAUCAUGGGCUGCUCUACGCUUGGCUGUCUGGUUCUUAUGAACAGCUAUGUCAGUAUCCCUACGUUGGAGAAAUGAUCAAGGAGAGUCUCCCUGGACACCACAUCCAUACAUUGAUGAUAAUAAAAGUAUUUAGAUUAAUGAUAGUAACCAUUUUGAGUGUCUGCUCUGGGCCAAGGCACUGUGCUAGGCACUUGCAUUUAUUAUUUCCUUUAAUCCUCUCAAUUACACCACUGGGGUAAGCAUUGUUAUGCUCAUUAUACAGAUAAGAAAACCAAAGUUUUAUUAAUUUAUUGAGCUCAAGUAAGUUGCUCAAGAUUACAGGGAGAGUAAGCAGUUGAGGCACAGAUUUGCAGCAUCAAUGUUUUUCCAAAAUCCAUAUCUUUUUCAGACGAUUUCAUUGCCUUAGGCCACGAUAGGCAGGGAAGAUACCCUGGACAGCUGGGGGUCUUCAUACAUGGAGACAGAAUUGAGAACAACUACUGUAAAUAUAAUAUUGUAAAGUUAAGUUAAUUAAUAUAUCUUUGCUUCCAUAACACAUUAUCUUUCAACACAACAGAGUGGAAUCACCUAGGGGAGAACUGACAUUUGUUGAGAAGAGGAAAUGCGUUAAGCACAUUGCAUACUGUAUCAGUCAAAAUGAAGUCAGAAAAACAGAAAUUAUGCUAGGUAUUUCAACCAGAGGGUAUUUAAUAUAAUGAGUGGAUUUCACAGGAGUUGGAACAUCCAAAAGGAGACAGUGAGUAAAUACAGAAAGCAACCUGAAGGCUGCAGGGGACAAAAGGAAAGACGUGGAACCAGAACCUAGGAAGGCAGAGGAAGGGCCACCACCUUAGGAGCUGGGCUGCUGCAGGGCCAUCGUGUACCUGGUACUGGACUGCCAAGGGGGCACUGUGUGGCUGGUGAGGGAACCUCUGAGAAAGUGGCUUGACACUGGUGGCAGCAGUGUCAAAAGAUGCCAGAGUUGUAACUGUCCAAAAGAAUGUGGAAGGAGGAAGAGAGUCCCUCUCUACUCCUGCCUCCCAGUCCCCCAGUUGUGCCUCCUGAUUGCAGACCCUGACUGGAAAUCAGCUAGCAAGGGAAUCUGGGAAAUAUAAUUGUCAGACUCCAAGCCCACAGCAUUACAAAUAAAAGUAUAGAAGUGUGUGCAUGGAACAGAGAGAUAAUAGAAAAUGACAAGCCCAUAUCAGUCAAUUCAUUGAGUCCUCUACCAAACUGUGACUAAAUAGAAGAACCAAAGUUCAAACAGGGAUCUAAUACCAGAAUUCGUGCUCUUGCAGUAUGUUUUAAACCCUUUAACUCAGUUUACAUUUAUACUUUGUCCUUGACUUUUUUUCUCUCAG